rnacentral:rRNA from 1 species
GUCUACAGCCAUGCCACCCUGAACAAGCCCAGUCCCGUCUGAUCUCGGAAGCUAAGCAGGGUUGGUUGGGCCUGGUUAGUACUUGGAUAGGAGACCAGGUGCUGUAGGUG